CUGACUUCUCUGCUGUCCCUUUCCCAGCUGUCCCUUGAAAAUCACACAGUUUUAAAAUUGAAUCACAAAAUUAAAUAUUAACACAACUACAUGGACGACACAGGGACAGUUGAGAAAAGGACGGCAGAAAAGCCAA
rnacentral:pre_miRNA from 1 species